UACGAAGGGGGCUAGCGUUGUUCGGAUUUACUGGGCGUAAAGCGCGUGUAGGCGGGUCAUCAAGUCAGGGGUGAAAGCCCAGAGCUCAACUCUGGAACUGCCCUUGAAACUGGUGACCUUGAGUACGGGAGAGGUGAGUGGAAUUCCCAGUGUAGAGGUGAAAUGCGUAGAUAUUGGGAAGAACACCGGUGGCGAAGGCGGCUCACUGGCCCGUAACUGACGCUCAGGCGCGAUAGCGUGGGGAUCAAACAGG
rnacentral:rRNA from 1 species